rnacentral:lncRNA from 1 species
UGCAGUCCCACCAAGAUGGGACCUGGGAUACUAAGCCUGGCUGCCCCUUCUUCCUGUAGGAGACCAGCUGAUCAGUGCAACCAUAUUCUUUGACCACAUGAAAUAUGAAGAUGCUCUCAAAAUCCUUCAGUACUCAGAGCCAUACAAAGUUCAGUUCGAAAUCAAACGGAAGCUCCCUGCCAGCGAGGAAGAAUGGGCCAUCCAUCAUCCUCAGCAAGGCCCAAAGGGCCAGGAGAAGCAGGACAAGGAUGAUGCUGAUGGGUGCAUGGAGACCCCCACAAAGACUCUAGAGGCAGAUGGAGACCAAGAGAGGCUUAUUUCUCAGCCCAUGGAGAGUCGUGGGAGAAGGCCCCAGGAAAGACUCUCUUGGCCAAAAUUUCAGUCCAUAAGGAGCAAGCAGGGACUGGGCCCCCGACGAUCACACAGUUCCUCAGAGGCCUCAGAGCACAGGCAUGGGCCUUAUAUGUCCCCCACAAGCACAGACACAGAGGCCCAGCUGCCACCUGAGAGUCAGAAGCAGAAGAAGGAAGGGUCAGGCAGCCGAAGAAGAAAGUUUCUGAACUUGAGAUUUGGGAUGGCCUCAGGGCAGGGCCAGAUUGCAACUAGACUAACAGGCACAGAGUCUCAGGGAAAACCAGGUCCUGCAGAGGUGCUCGAGGACUCACAGCCCAGAGAGGUUAAGUCAGAGAGCACAGAGGUGGCAAUCAGGACCAGGAGAAAGGAUACGCCACAGACUCCAGGACUCAUGACCAUGCAGGUGACCACACAGGACUCCAGCCACACAAACCUUGGUAAAGGAACCCCUGGAGAAGUGACAGUCAGGACAGACAGGCGCCAAAGGAAGACAAAGGAAUUGAAGAAGCAGGAGACUGAGAAGGUGGUCAGCCAGUCCAGAGCAGAGGCAGACGCAGGAGCAACCUGGGAGGACGAAUGGGAGGAAGUCCACUGUCUGGAAAUUGGGAUUGCAAAAUUGUCUCUGAGAGACAAACCGGAGCAGGACAGCACACAGGUCUCAGUAAACGUCUUGAAGACAACAGACAUUGGAUUUGAUGAGGAAAAGAUGACACACAUUCGAACAGAGGCCAAAGACGAUGGAAAAAAGAAAAAGGAACAGGGAUAUACAAUUGAAGAGGAAGGGACAGAAACGCAGGAACAAGGACAAUCAUGCCACUCAGCAAAAGAACAAACACCACCUGACAAAAAAGAGAGGAAAGGGAGACGGGAGGAGGGAAAGAAAAUGGAAGACGAAGAAGAGGAGAAAGAGAGAGGACAGGCCAGGGUAAAGAUACCCAGAUUCAAAAUGCCAAACUUUGGAUGGUCCCCAACUAAAGAAGUCAAAACACGAGGAAAAAAUGAAACAAAAGGAAUAGAAAAAGGAACAGAAGAUGGAGAAAAAGAAAACGCAGAAAAAAUAGCAAUACAGGUGGAUGGAAAGAAACUGGAGGAGAGAGGGGAAGAAUCAUCAGACAGAGGAGGGAACAGGACAGAGCCCAGAGACAUAGUAAACACAGACCAGAACAUAACUGAAGGUCAUGUUGAACUGGACAACAAGGACAGCAAAUUCAGCUUCUCAGCACCUGGAAAGACCAUCAAGGACUCACUGGAGGUGGUGGCAGCAAAGCCACAAACAGACACGGCCCUGCCCUGCAUCCAGGGUGACCUGAAGACCGCUGAUGUCAACAUUCAUCUGCCCUCCACUGACCUGGAGGGAAAGACCCGCCAGGUGGAUAUCAAGCUGCCGGUGGGCCAGCUGCCCGAGGGAGAGGUGGCCGCAAACGCAACCGUGGAAGCUGGCCUGAAGGAUAACCUACCCAAGGUGCAGAUGGCCAGCCUAAAGAUGCCCAAAGUGGACCUCAAGGGACCCCAAGUGGACCUGAAGGGCCCCAAAGCCGAGGUGACCGCACCUGAGGUGGAGAUGUCUCUGACUGGAGUGGAGGUGGAUUUCAAGGCCCCCGGUGCCAAGCUGGAGGCGGACCUGGCCCUGGCCGACAGGGACACUGUGGCCACCAAAGAGAGCAAGUUCAAGAUGCCCAAGUUCAAGAUGCCCUCCUUUGGCAUGUCGGCGCCUGGGAAGACAAUCGAAGCCUCGCUGGAGGUCUUGGUACCGAAGCCGGGGGCAGACGUGGCUCUGCCCUCCAUCCAGGGUGACCUGAAGACCCCUGACGUCAGCAUUCAGCUGCCCUCCUCCGACCUGGAGGUGGGUGUCAAGCUGCCCGAGGGAGAGCUGCCCGCACCCGCGGCCAUGGAAGCCGGCCUGAAGGAUCACCUACCCAAGGUGCAGAUGCCCAGCCUAAAGAUGCCCAAAGGGGACCUCAGGGGUCUCCAAGUGGACCUGAAGGGUCCCAAAGCCGAGAUGACCACGCCUGAGGUGGAGAUGUCUCUUCCCGGAGUGGAGGUGGACAUCCAGGAACCUGGUGCCAAGCUGGAGGGGGACCUGGCCCUGGCCGACAGGGACACCGUGGCCACCAAAGACAGCAAGUUCAAGAUACCCAAGUUCAAGAUGCCAUCAUUCAGCAUGCUGGGGCCCGGGAAGGCCACCGAGGCCUCACUGGAGGUGAUGGCGCCAAAGGCGGAGUCCGACGUGGACGUUCCCUCCAUCCAGAGCGACCUGAAGACCCCUGACAUCAGCAUUCAGCUGACCUCCGCCGACCUGGAGGGCAAGGCCAGCCUGGUGGACGACAAACUGCCUGAGGGCCAGCUGCCCGAAGGUGAGCUACCAGCUCCCGCUGCCGUGGGAUGUGGCCUGAAGGGGCACCUGCCCAAGGUGCAGAUGCCCAGGGUCAGGAUGCCCAAAGUGGACUUCAAGGGCCCCCAGGUGGACCUGAAGGGUGCCAAGGUGGACUUGAAAGACCCCAAGGCCGAGGUGACCACGACAGAGAUCGAGAUGCCCCUGCCCGGCGUGGAGGUGGACAUCCAGGCCCCUG